rnacentral:misc_RNA from 1 species
GUAUUAGAUUUCAGCUUGUUUAAAAGCUUACUACAUAAAUCAUUCUGACUUGUUAUUGGUGUUUAAUAAAAACAUAGACAAAUGAAAUUGCACAGAUUGCUCUAUGAAUUGGUUUGCCUACUUGAUUGUGCACAAUGGGGUAAAGAGAAGGAGAUUUUAGAGUGCACAUGCAAACCAGUGGAGUGCCAGCACAUCUUUAAAUCAAUAAUGAUCCUUCCGCAGGUUCACCUACGGAAA